UACAGAGGAGCCAAGCGUUGUCCGGAUUGACUGGGCGUAAAGCGCACGCAGGCGGAUGCGCGCGUGGGGUGUGAAAUCUGGCCGCUUAACGGCCAGGCGCCAUCCCAUACGGCGCGUCUGGAGUGAUGCAGAGGUCGGUGGAAUUGCCGGUGUAGUGGUGAAAUGCGUAGAGAUCGGCAGGAACACCAAGGGCGCAAGCAGCCGACUGGGCACGUGCUGACACUGAGGGACGACAGCGUGGGGAGCGAACAGG
rnacentral:rRNA from 1 species